rnacentral:lncRNA from 1 species
CUGAUGGAUAAACCCCUACAACAGAAGACUCAGGGGAGGCAGGCACAAGCAAUGUGCUCAUGAAGCUCAGUGAAGAAUGUAGGGAGUAACCACAACUAUUGCACAUACAGCUGAAUUUAUAUCAACACAAAGGGAACAGGAGGGUGGCCUUUUUGUUUCGGAGUAAUGACUGUAUCAGUGCAGUGGAUCAACUGAUCCACUGAAUUUUCCCUGAGUUAAUCAAAAGAGUGUGAAUGUCUUCCGGAGUUAGCCAGACCAGUUACGAGUAAAGUGUGCACAUGGCUCAGACCAGCACGGAGUAUAAAAACUGAACAAUCAACAAAAUGAACUUCAAAAAGGGCAAGAUGUUUGAACUGGCUUCAUGCCAUGCAUUCCUUUCCUUGGGGAUACUCAAUGUCAUUAUGGUGAACAUAUAGAGACUGGAAAUGAGAAUCACAUUUGUACAUGUUGUACAUUGCAACUGAUAUAUUGUGCUCACACUGUGAUCUCAUCACAUUAUUGUAUCCCUCUACUAAAUCGAAAUCCUGUGUAAAAUCAAAUAUAAUGAAAUGUGUAAAUGUGGUAUUAAACAUUAAACCCUCUUUGUGUGGAAUAAAUAAAGGAACCUGGUCAGAGGUCACUGGACUCUGAAACUGCUUCUGACAAGCUUACAAAAACUGAAAAGCCCAUUCUCAAGAAAGCUACAGAGGUAGUCAGAAAAAAAUGUUUGCAAUGAGAAGUGUGCAUCAAACCAACUCUGUAUGAAGAAGCAAUCCACUCUAGGAAAAGGUCUAAAAUGAUGAUUGUUCCAACUCCUGCAUCAUCCUUUCUGAGAAUGCACUGCUAUUGCAUCUUUGAGAGGAAACAAAAUCUUCCUCAAUGUUCAACCAGCUUCCUCCUUGAACUACAGCUGGAGGAAGGAUGGGCUGGAGGACUGCAGGGGGAUGGGAAGUCUUCUUCACCUAGUUGCUGUUGAGAUGUCCAUCCAUCAAGCUACGGUUUUCACAGUUCAGAUCAGCAGACUUCACAAUCUUCCACAUCACAGAUCUGUGUAAGUAUCAGGGAAAAUGUGAAGGGGAAAGUGCUGCUCAGAUACAACAGGGAAACCGUUAGUGGUCAUCACUGUGGGGCAGACCAAGGUAAUGCUAAUAAAACAGGGAACUCCGAGAAAGAGGCAGACAAAUGGGUUGGAUACAUCAAGAUAUUUCUCCUCCCAUCAUCACACUGUUUCAGCAUUUCAGUUCUGGAGAUAUUUCUGCUGAAGGUCAUAGGAGCACAGCGCUGGGAAAAGUUAUCUGGUUCUCUUCUCUCAAUCUAUUAUGUCUUUCCUGUGUCUGGGCCUCUGAUGGAUGACAGCAUGUAAGAGAAAAUAGAAAGUCCCACAUUUUCCCAUCCAAGAGGAGGCUUUCUUAGUGAGGGCCUGGCCACCCAAGCCUGUCUGUUCCCAAUGCCCUGCAGUGGCAGUCACUUGUCACUCUUCUGCAGGGGCCCUCCCUGUGCAGAUUUCCAUCUCAUGCCUGAACGUGCCAGAAAUGCUUCACAGUGUGACUGCUCCUUCCUACCUCCUCAGCAGAAAAACUCAUCUCCAGGGAGACGGGAGUUUCAUGCAUGACACUUUAUCUGUCUUCCAGCAGCCUUUGGGCAGUGAUUACCAAGGAUAUCAAAUGCCCUCUCUGAUGCAAGUACUUUCAUUGCUUUUCCACCCUCUAACGCUGAGUUUGUGAAGGAAUUCAGCUCUUCAUGCAGCAUCUCCACAAACAUAGAAAAUGAAGAGUUUUGAUCAAACAAGGGAUUUCAAGCUGUAGGCCACACCCUGUGCUGUGAAUGGUCUUUUAAGCCUGAAAAAAUGCAUAUUGAGGUGGUCGUCUUGAACAGAAACUGCACCGUACAUUUUCCAUCUUGGUUGGUGAUGAUCGUACUUGAGAUAUUAAAUUGCACAGGGGGGGUGGGGAGACUGGGGAAGUUGGGGAGCUGUCAGGCCAGCUCCCUGACAGAAGUAAGGAGAUGCUAGAGGGGUUGCCAGGUGAAGACCAAACCUACCAAAAAUGCCAGAGAGGGACCCUCCCCAGGCCUUUCCCCAUGGGCAGGGGCUGCAUAAGGUGGGAUAGGCAUGUAGACACAAAAGGAGGGCAGGUCUGGCUGUACUCACAGCAGCAUUGGAGCAGCCUGGUGUGGUUGAGGUGAACCCUGGAAAAGCAGCCAUGUUUUAAAUGAUCUGAGGCUCACUCUUACCAAGUAUUAAGAGAUUUCCUACAAGCACUGGAGCUGAUCUGGGGAUUUCUUUAGCAGCUGCUUAUUUAAGAAUCAGCCAUUGUCCUUCCUUAAUCUGAAUUCAGAUCAAGCCAGCCAGUAAUGUUUCUGCUACCAUCAUUAAAUGUCUUACUUUUAAUUCAUUUGCAGCAAGGUAACAUAUACAAUGAAUAUGGGGUCAUAGCACAGCCUUGACACUGAAUUGUGAAGAACACAGGAUUUCUUUAUUGAGCAUAUCAAGCAAGGGAUUCUUGCAGUGCAUUGCUACAGGUAUAAAGGGAAGGUGCAUUAAUUUCAGCAGUUGGGAGAUCUUUUUAAAGUUGGUUUUCUUGUCCAUCUUUUUGUCCAGAUUCUCAUACCUCUUUACAACUAUUUUCAGAAAAAAAUGAAAAAAAAAAAUGAAAAAAAAAGAAGAGUAGACGCUGCAGAGUCUGAAUCUGUAUAAGGUCAGCUGUGCUUGCUAGAGUGUAAUUUUCACUUAUUAAUGUGAAUAGAAGACAGCUAUAAGUCUGCAGCUAAAUUUAAAUUUAGGUGUUGGAGCAAUAUAAUUGCUACUUUGAAUUGUAUGAUAUUGCUUUAAAAUUAAUGAUUAUUAAAGAUUACUUGUUCUGUGUUUUUGUUUGUUUGUUUGUUUUACUUUGUUUAGGUUUCUUUUAAAGAGCAGGUUCCAUUACAUUUCUAAGUACAAUAACCUAAGACCAUGUCAACAAACUGUGUAACUACAGACAUUUCCAUCCUAGCACAGAACAUAACUUAGCCUGAACUCUAAGAUUAUGAAUUUUAAGGGAAAAUAAGUGUUUUCUUCAAAUACCCCUAGGAGGAUGGCAACAGGGGGAGAAGGAUUAUGUUUAUUGUUUAUAAUUAACUACAUCACAGUUGAAAGUUAAUUUUGAUUUAGAUAAACCACCCACUGAAUAUCAAGUUACUUCUCAAGAUUCUCACCCCUUUCAGAGCCUAUCUGUCUCUGUGGGUCUUGAGACUAACUGCUGUUAAGCCUCUCUACUUGUAACAGGUGGUUCUGGCUAAAAGUCUAACAACCCUGGUGCUACAGGGUGGGGCAAGAUAUAUUUUUGCUAUUUAUAUGAGAUAAGAAGUUGUAAGUCUGAUCCAGGCCCAUGUUUGGAUUGCCUAAGAAAGGGUCCUUUUGAGUGUAGGGUAUGUAUUCUGGUGUAGAAAGAAAUGAAAAAGUGAAACAUUACCACACACUUGUCGUCAUGAAGAAAUGUUUGCAUUGCAGAUCCCUAGUAAGAAGUGAUAAAUUCUUCAGCAUGCAAAGACUAAGCAUAUAACAGAACAAACUUCUCUGAGGACCCUGUGCAUUUGAAGUGGUAAAAGCUGUGAUUUCAAUGCUGUGAUUGCAGAUGUGUGUGUAAAGAAAUACUGAACAUGGAAGAUCUAUGCUCCAUGACAAAUGGUAGCUGUGGUUGUGUCUUUCCUUUGGGACAAGGCAGAAGAAUGAUGACUCCUCAUAUUCACUGUACUUUGCUUAGGCUAAUUACUAGGAACUACAUGAAUUUGCAAUGAAUUUGCAAUAAAUAAUUUAUCCAACAUACCGAAGUCUCA